AGGCUUUUUUUCUGGCGCGUCUGCCUCUAUAUUCACCGUGCCGGAUUCGUCCGGCUAUGGCGAUAAACGCGGUCGUAAUAAGCCGAUCGGACCCGGGGGCAGUACCCGGCGCCUCCACCACAUGCCCGUGCGAGCACUCAACGCAAGCUUCGACGCGCGGGCAUCUGAUGGGGGCGAACUAGGAUCGACGAAGGUGUAAAGGGCUUAGCUUUUGCUCGGCAUGGUUCCGCCGUUAUCGGGCCAUUCAGAAUAGUUGCCAAUGACAACUAUCCUGAGGCUGCUCUCGCUGCGUAAUGCGGCGCGAUUAGCCUGAACUUGAAGCCCUUAUCCUUAGCCGGAUAAGGCGCGGUCCGGAGGGCACCGGGCAACAGAAGCCCUCCACU
rnacentral:tmRNA from 1 species